UACAGUGAAACCUGGGUAAACCGAACCCUGAUAAAACCGAAUUUCUGUUUAAACCGAACAAUUUUCAAAGUCCCACAAAAUUUCCCCAUCAAUUACUGUUAAUCUAACCUGAAAAAUCCGAACCCUGUCAACACCGAAUUCCGAACGCUUUUUGAAGGCUCGUUAGUAAAUUUGUAUGUAAAAAUUACUUGUCAAAAUCGAUCAAUACCAAUCAAAACAAUAAAAUAUUAUUAAUUAUUUGCAUGAUUUAAUUAAACAAACACAGGAUGACAGAGUAUCCCCGAAGGUAUUUGAGGUUUAAUGAACUUGUGAGUUGUUAUUACAAACUAAUUAGCAUGUGUGUGUCCAUGUAUAAAGUGAUUUUUUGGUAAAAAACGUUAAACUGGUCAGCUACCCCCAUCGCUAGCCUGGGGUCCUGGCUAAUCUUGGACGCGCAGCUAGAUUGGGCCGGAUCCCAGGCUACCCCCAUCGCCGAUAAUGACAAGAAAGGAACUUUCCCUCAGAUCAAUUAAAUGCACCUUACUCAAAUAAUUACGGCCACAAAAUCGAAACUACCAUUCUGUAGCUAAACUGUUUAAUUAAAUAAUAGUUUUAAAGGCUUUCACCGGAUUAAAAAGUCGUGCAACACAACAAGGUCAAUGGAUUUCGAUUGCUGGAUUCCCUUUAGAGGCCCUAUAUAUUUGAUUCGAAUGCUCCCGAUGACUUCCGUUAGCUAUUUAGCAACGAUAAAGUCCGAGAAUAAACUGGACCCCUGCUGUUGUUUCACUGUUAUCGUGUGCCGAAAUAUCAAUCAGUGGGUGACCAGUUUAGUCCGAUAACUCGUGUGUUGAAUGACGUUCCCGAUUCGACUACGGAAUCGUCAUUUGACAGUGACUGUGAAUCUGAAUUGGUCAGUGAAUUAACGGAUGAGAAAAUAAUUAUAAAAAGCAAAAUCGCUCCACGUAGGACAUCUCCCAACGACGAGCGUGAUUGAAGAAGUGGCGUUUGAUUUAUAAACAAAAAUGUAGCAAAACGUCUAUCUUCAUCUUCUUUUAUUUUUACAUUUAAACCUGAACAAUGAACACAAAAAUAAACUGUCGUCUGUUGUGUCACUUAUUAUCCCUUGUCAGUAAAUGCCAAAAUUAUUUUGGUGUCGACUUCCGUUUACCUCUACAAUCCGAACACCUGUGAAAACCGAACAAAACGCAAAGUCCCGGGGGUGUUCGGUUAGGACAGGUUUCACUGUA
rnacentral:lncRNA from 1 species